rnacentral:rRNA from 1 species
AACGAACGCUGGCGGCAUGCCUAACACAUGCAAGUCGAACGAGACCUUCGGGUCUAGUGGCGCACGGGUGCGUAACGCGUGGGAACCUGCCCUUAGGUUCGGAAUAACUCCCCGAAAGGGGUGCUAAUACCGGAUAAUGUCUUCGGACCAAAGAUUUAUCGCCUUUGGAUGGGCCCGCGUUGGAUUAGCUAGUUGGUAGGGUAAAAGCCUACCAAGGCGACGAUCCAUAGCUGGUCUGAGAGGAUGAUCAGCCACACUGGGACUGAGACACGGCCCAGACUCUUACGGGAGGCAGCAGUGGGGAAUAUUGGACAGUGGGGGAAAUCCUGAUCCAGCAAUGCCGCGUAAGUGAUGAAGGCCGUAGGGUUGUAAAGCUCUUUUACCCGGGAUGAUAAUGACAGUACCGGGAGAAUAAGCUCCGGCUAACUCCGUG